rnacentral:lncRNA from 1 species
GUGCUCACCCCAGAGACGGAUGGAUCACACCGUUGAAAUUUUCUCCAUGUGUGUGACUCAUUUGUGUGCAUCUAUGUACAGGUAUUCUCCAAUUGCUGCUAACUGGUGCCAUAGAGAAAAAGUCACACUCCGCACCUUGUGAGAGAAGCUACUCCAGGUGAGAAGCCACUCUUGAGGCUCCAGGUGAGAAGCCACUCUUCCGGGUCUGUGUUAGGAACCAUUCUUCAGGUUCCACGUUUGAAAAGCCAGCUCUUCCGGUUCUGUGUCAAGAGUCACCUCUUCAGGUUCUACGUUCAAAGCCACUCUUCAGGGACUGUGUGAGAAGCCACGCUUCAGGCUCCACGUGAGUGCUUCUUCUAAUUCAAAGCACAGGACGUAGCUGGGAACUGGGGAAAUUUUAGUACAUCAUCAGAGUGAUCAUGUAACCUUAAUCUUUUGUAAAGUAUAAUCUGUGGACCUGUGGGCCAUCUCCAUUGGAAUUAACGUAAGAGCUUCCUAAGAUUGUAGGUGUAAGAUCCAACCCCAAACCCAAUAACUCAGAGUUCCUCCUGCCAAAUCCAGGAUCCUCUCUUUAUAUUUAAAAAACUCUUUACUUAGCCCUGAUUAUAAUGUGCACUGGGCUCAAGAACUGCUCGCCGGUGAUCUAUACAGGCAAGUCAAGGAGCAAAGUCCUCUGAGGAGCGAACUCCUAUAGUAACACACCUUCAAAGUGCUGUUUCCUUUUCCUGCCCAAAACUUGGUGAUGGGAGGCUGGCCCUUCCCAGAGGCGCUCCUGGCCGCCAUCUUUAUGAUGUAAGAUAAACAUACUCAAAAGAUCCUGCCUGUCAUUUUAUGUAUCGGAUUGUGUCCUUUAUGACUGCAGUAAGCAUGCUUGAGAUGUGUCCCCCAUCUUUCCUUCCUGAUCUAUGACUUUAAACUUUGCAGGCACAGGAAGAUACAAUAUUUUUGAAGUGACUUUGUCAUCCCCAUGGGAAUACAUAGAGCUUCCUAAAUAAGAUCCCCAUAGCUCCUUCUGUUCAUGGAGGGCCGUGCUCUGCACUUACCUCCCACAUGCCCCUUACAAAGCGAGGUAGAGUAGCCUAAACAAUGACUAAAAGCAGAGCACACAUGCUGGGCAUGAUGGUGUGUGCAGCCCUAGCGAACCAGAGGCAGGAGGACUAGGAGUUCAAAGUCAGCCAUGGCUACAUUACAGCUUUGAGGCCAGCAGGGGCUACAUAAGACUCUCCCCCAACAACAAUAAAUAGAUAGAAAAA